rnacentral:rRNA from 1 species
UACGUAGGGGGCAAGCGUUGUCCGGAUUUAUUGGGCGUAAAGAGCGUGUAGGCGGCCAGAUAGGUCAGCUGUGAAAACUCGAGGCUCAACCUCGAGAUGUCGGCUGAAACCAUCUGGCUAGAGUCCGGAAGAGGAGAAUGGGAUUCCCGGUGUAGCGGUGAAAUGCGCAGAUAUCGGGAAGAACACCCGUGGCGAAGGCGGUUCUCUGGGACGGUACUGACGCUGAGACGCGAAAGCGUGGGGAGCGAACAGG